rnacentral:rRNA from 1 species
UACGAAGGGGGCUAGCGUUGCUCGGAAUCACUGGGCGUAAAGCGCACGUAGGCGGCUUGUUAAGUCAGGGGUGAAAUCCUGGAGCUCAACUCCAGAACUGCCUUUGAUACUGGCGACCUUGAGUUCGGGAGAGGUGAGUGGAACUGCGAGUGUAGAGGUGAAAUUCGUAGAUAUUCGGAGGAACACCAGUGGCGAAGGCGGCUCACUGGCUCGAUACUGACGCUGAGGUGCGAAAGCGUGGGGAGCAAACAGG